UUCGCCUGUUUAUCAAAAACAUGUCCUUGUGUGGGAGUUAUAAGGUCUGGCCUGCCCACUGAUAAACUAAAGGGCCGCGGUAUACUAACCGUGCGAAGGUAGCAUAGUCAAUAGUCUCUUAAUUGGAGGCUUGAAUGAAUGGUCGGACAUAAGAAAAGCUGUCUACAGUUAAUGAGUGGUGAAUUUAACUUUUGUGUGAAAAGGCAUUUAUAAGGCAGAGGGACGAUAAGACCCUAUAAAACUUGACAAUUAAUAAGGACUUCUUGAUUUGGGGGUAAGAAAAAGUACUUAAAUAUUGUUGUGCUGGGGCGGCAAGAAUAAAAGUCGUAACUGUUCUUAAAAUAUAAUAAAGAUCAUUAGAGGUUGACCCUUAAGUUGGGGUUAUAAGAGUAAGUUACUUUAGGGAUAACAGCGUUAUUUCUCUUGAGAGUUCAUAUCGACAGAGACAUUUGCGACCUCGAUGUUGAAUUAAAGUUUUACCUGGGAGUAGAAAUUCAGGUGGUAGGUCUGUUCGACCUU
rnacentral:rRNA from 1 species